rnacentral:rRNA from 1 species
AACGAACGCUGGCGGCAGGCCUAACACAUGCAAGUCGAGCGCGCCCUUCGGGGCGAGCGGCGGACGGGUGAGUAACGCGUGGGAACGUGCCCUUCUCUGCGGAAUAGCCUCGGGAAACUGAGAGUAAUACCGCACACGCCCUUUGGGGGAAGGAUUUAUCGGAGAAGGAUCGGCCCGCGUUGGAUUAGGUAGUUGGUGGGGUAAUGGCCCACCAAGCCGACGAUCCAUAGCUGGUUUGAGAGGAUGAUCAGCCACACUGGGACUGAGACACGGCCCAGACUCCUACGGGAGGCAGCAGUGGGGAAUCUUAGACAAUGGGGGCAACCCUGAUCUAGCCAUGCCGCGUGAGUGAUGAAGGCCUUAGGGUUGUAAAGCUCUUUCAGCUGGGAAGAUAAUGACGGUACCAGCAGAAGAAGCCCCGGCUAACUCCGUGCCAGCAGCCGCGGUAAUACGGAGGGGGCUAGCGUUGUUCGGAAUUACUGGGCGUAAAGCGCACGUAGGCGGACCAGGU